rnacentral:snRNA from 1 species
GUGUUUGCUUCGGCAGCAUGUAUACUAAAAUUGGAAUAAUAAAGAGAAGGUCAACAUGGCCCCCGCACAAGGAUGGUGUGCAAAUAUUUUCUAGCUUUAU